rnacentral:lncRNA from 1 species
GCUCCUCCUCCAACCCGUCGUGCUCCUCCGCCUCAAGAACCCACUCUCCAAUCCAUUUCCGAUCAAAUUGCUUCCUUGACCACCUCGGUUGGUCAAUAGACAAAUGAGAUCCAUGGAUAUUUUGUCCAUGUUCAUUAUCCAUAUGCCGGUCUUGUUCCCUUCGAAGCUGUGCCGGAUGAUGAGGCAGGAAAUGAUGAUGAAUGAUUUCUCUAUUUUUUUUUGGCUCUAUUGUGAUAUGUUUUAUUGUCCCCUCCUUAUGUACUCAUUUUUUUUAAUAAAUAAACAAGGUUUAUUUCAUCUUUG